UACGUAGGGACCAAGCGUUGUUCGGAUUUACUGGGCGUAAAGGGCGCGUAGGCGGCGUGACAAGUCACUUGUGAAAUCUCCGGGCUUAACUCGGAACGGCCAAGUGAUACUGUCGUGCUAGAGUGCAGAAGGGGCAAUCGGAAUUCUUGGUGUAGCGGUGAAAUGCGUAGAUAUCAAGAGGAACACCUGAGGUGAAGACGGGUUGCUGGGCUGACACUGACGCUGAGGCGCGAAAGCUAGGGGAGCAAACGGG
rnacentral:rRNA from 1 species